UGACUGUCAAGAUGGCGAUUCAGUGAGGGGCAGUUGAAACAAGACCUGUUUGACAGCUGAUACACUUUUGGGAAAAAAUGGUAGGGCUGAAAUCAGAGAAUCUCUGGCCAGAGAGGGAAAAGGAGUGAACCAGGAGCUUCUCACAAAGUCAGACGUAUAAAAAGGACCUGGAAUUGAAACAACUGGAAAACUGCAACUUGAAGAGAAAAAAAGAAGCACAACUCAGAGACUCAACCAGGACCUGAUCGGAAAACUAGAAACUAAAGAGAAAAUAGCACAAUGCAAG
rnacentral:lncRNA from 1 species